rnacentral:rRNA from 1 species
UUGAACGCUAGCGGCAUGCUUUAUACAUGCAAGUCGUACGGUACAAGUUUUUUCGGAAAAAUGUUGACGAGUGGCGAACGGGUGAGUAAUACAUAGGAAUCUGCCUAAGAGAAUGGGAUAGUUAGUGGAAACAUUAAGUAAUACCGUAUAUUUCUUUUAUAGAAAAAGCAGGGGACUUUUUUUUAAGAGCCUUGCGCUUUUAGAUGAGCCUAUGUCAGAUUAGUUAGUUGGUGAGGUAAAGGCUCACCAAGACGAUGAUCUGUAGUUGAUUUUAGAGAAUGAUCAGCCACACUGGGAUUGAGAUACGGCCCAGACUUCUACGGAAGGCAGCAGUAGGGAAUCUUGGACAAUGGGCGCAAGCCUGAUCCAGCAAUGCCGCGUGUGUGAAGAAGGCCUUAGGGUUGUAAAGCACUUUCAGCAAUGAAGAAGUGUAUUAUGCUAAUAUCAUAAUAUAUUGACGUUAGUUGCAGAAGAAGUACUGGCUAACUCUGUG